GGUAGGAUGGCUGAGUGCUAAGCGGUGGUUUGUAGCUCCAUGUACAAGGGUUCAAAUCCCUUUCCUAUCA
rnacentral:tRNA from 1 species